rnacentral:rRNA from 1 species
AGAAUCAACGCUGGCGGCGUGCCUAACACAUGCAAGUCGCACGAGAAAGUGGAGCAAUCCAUGAGUACAGUGGCGCACGGGUGAGUAACACGUGACUAAUCUACCUCCGAGUGGGGAAUAACCUGGGGAAACCUGGGCUAAUACCGCAUAACACUUACGAGUCAAAGCAGCAAUGCGCUUGGAGAGGAGGUCGCGGUCGAUUAGUUAGUUGGCGGGGUAAUGGCCCACCAAGACGAUGAUCGAUAUCCGGCCUGAGAGGGCGCACGGACACACUGGAACUGAAACACGGUCCAGACUCCUACGGGAGGCAGCAGUGGGGAAUUUUGCGCAAUGGGGGAAACCCUGACGCAGCAACGCCGCGUGGAGGAUGAAGUAUCUUGGUACGUAAACUCCUUUCGAUUGGGAAGAUAAUGACGGUACCAAUAGAAGAAGCCCGGCUAACUUCGCGCCAGCAGCCGC